AAGGGGCUCCAAGGUCUCCCCAGAGCCUUCUCUUCUCCAGGUGAUCCCCCCCAGCUCCCAGCCUGUGGUGUACCAGGGUUCAGCAAGAACAAGCCCCUUACCCCAGAGAGACACUGGCAGCAUCUCUGGAGACAAAACUCCUUACAAACAACAGCCAAAAGCCUGGAAGAACACUUGGAAAGCAGGGGAUGGGGAUGGAUGUACUGCAGUGACUGGCUCUGGUACAACACCACCCAAAAUCCACAGUGCAUUUCUAGAGGGAGGACGAUGAUUAAAGUAACAAGUUCUCCAGAAAGCACCUUGAUCUUCUAAAUGCAUCACAAUGAUACUGCUUGUUUUGUGCUUUCCUGAUCUUCCUACAGAUCCUGCAUUUUUGAGGCAGCAGAAAUGCUGGAGGAAGCUUUCUCCCUGUGCUGCAUCAUCAUGUCCGUGAAAGUCAGAGCUGAGGAAUAAACCCAAGCACAGCGUUUUGAGCACUGCAGGAAGAAAAAUAAAGGCGAUGCAACAACUCAUCUGUUGAAAUUUCAUCCAUAACUGGGUGUACCAAGGAAUUUCUCCGCAUUUAAUUGCUCUCGAGUGAGAAAAAAAAACUCCUUCUCUUUGCCUGAGAAGGGAAACCACAUCCAGCAAAGCCUGAGGUCUUUGCUUGACCCAAAGAAGAACACACCAGUCCAUCCAAAGGGACAUUCAGGCUCUUACACCUUUUGCACAUGAGUUUUCCUUAAUACUCCUGAAGAGAAGCUGCUGAGAUACCUCAACUCAUACAACAAAGGUGAUCUCACUCUCACUGAUGGAUGAGCUUUUGGUCACAGACAGAGGGGCAGGAACCUCAGGAUGAAAAAUCUGUGCUCUGAGAAAGGGCCUGACAAUGCACUUUUCCCCUUUUCCAUGCUGUGAAAGGACAUCGCAGCGCACAAGACCUCCCAUUUCUGCUGUCUGUGCAACUUCAGGCGUGUUCAACAUCUUCCCCCAAGGAAUAGUUAAAACUCCUGGAUGGAAUAAAUAGAACAAAAACUGUUUGGAGAGACCUGAGGGGUGAGAGGUGUC